GACAGAGGGUGCUAGCGUUGUUCGGAAUUACUGGGCGUAAAGGGCGCGUAGGCGGCUCGUUUAGUCGGGUGUGAAAUCCCAAGGCUCAACCUUGGAACUGCAUUCGAUACUGGCGGGCUAGAGACCGGAAGAGGUGGGUGGAAUACCCAGUGUAGAGGUGAAAUUCGUAGAUAUUGGGUGGAACACCGGUGGCGAAGGCGGCUCACUGGUCCGGUUCUGACGCUGAGGCGCGGAAAGCGUGGGGAGCAAACAGG
rnacentral:rRNA from 1 species